UUUGCGUCGAAGGUAUACCGGUAAGGAGUGCUGGAGCGAAUAGAAGUGAGCAUGCAGGCAUGAGUAGCGAUAAUUAAUGUGAGAAUCAUUAACGCCGUAAACCCAAGGUUUCCUACGCGAUGCUCGUCAUCGUAGGGUUAGUCGGGUCCUAAGUCGAGUCCGAAAGGGGUAGACGAUGGCAAAUUGGUUAAUAUUCCAAUACCAACAUUAGUGUGCGAUGGAAGGACGCUUAGGGCUAAGGGGGCUAGCGGAUGGAAGUGCUAGUCUAAGGUCGUAGGAGGUUAUACAGGCAAAUCCGUAUAACAAUACUCCGAGAACUGAAAGGCUUUUUGAAGUCUUCGGAUGGAUAGAAGAACCCCUGAUGCCAUCGAGCCAAGAAAAGUUUCUAAGUUUAGCUAAUGUUGCCCGUACCGUAAACCGACACAGGUGGGUGGGAUGAGUAUUCUAAGGCGCGUGGAAGAACUCUCUUUAAGGAACUCUGCAAAAUAGCACCGUAUCUUCGGUAUAAGGUGUGGUUAGCUUUGUAUUAGGAUUUACUCCGAAAGCGAAGAAACUUACAACAAAGAGUCCCUCCCGACUGUUUACCAAAAACACAGCACUCUGCUAACUCGUAAGAGGAUGUAUAGGGUGUGACGCCUGCCCGGUGCUCGAAGGUUAAUUGAUGGGGUUAGCAUUAGCGAAGCUCUUGAUCGAAGCCCGAGUAAACGGCGGCCGUAACUAUAACGGUCCUAAGGUAGCGAAAUUCCUUGUCGGUUAAAUACCGACCUGCAUGAAUGGCGUAACGAGAUGGGAGCUGUCUCAAAGAGGGAUCCAGUGAAAUUGUAGUGGAGGUGAAAAUUCCUCCUACCCGCGGCAAGACGGAAAGACCCCGUGGACCUUUACUACAGCUUGACACUGCUAUUUGGAUAAGAAUGUGCAGGAUAGGUGGGAGGCUUUGAGUAUAUGACGCCAGUUGUAUAUGAGCCAUUGUUGAGAUACCACUCUUUCUUAUUUGGGUAGCUAACCAGCUUGAGUUAUCCUCAAGUGGGACAAUGUCUGGUGGGUAGUUUGACUGGGGCGGUCGCCUCCCAAAUAAUAACGGAGGCUUACAAAGGUUGGCUCAGAACGGUUGGAAAUCGUUCGUAGAGUAUAAAGGUAUAAGCCAGCUUAACUGCAAGACAUACAAGUCAAGCAGAGACGAAAGUCGGUCUUAGUGAUCCGGUGGUUCUGUGUGGAAGGGCCAUCGCUCAAAGGAUAAAAGGUACCCCGGGGAUAACAGGCUGAUCUCCCCCAAGAGCUCACAUCGACGGGGAGGUUUGGCACCUCGAUGUCGGCUCAUCGCAUCCUGGGGCUGGAGCAGGUCCCAAGGGUAUGGCUGUUCGCCAUUUAAAGCGGUACGCGAGCUGGGUUCAGAACGUCGUGAGACAGUUCGGUCCCUAUCUGCCGUGGGCGUAAGAAGAUUGAAGAGAUUUGACCCUAGUACGAGAGGACCGGGUUGAACAAACCACUGGUGUAGCUGUUGUUCUGCCAAGAGCAUCGCAGCGUAGCUAAGUUUGGAAAGGAUAAACGCUGAAAGCAUCUAAGCGUGAAGCCAACUCUAAGAUGAAUCUUCUCUAAGCUCUCUAGAAGACUACUAGUUUGAUAGGCUGGGUGUGUAAUGGAUGAAAGUCCUUUAGCUGACCAGUACUAAUAGAGCGUUUGGCUUAUCUUUAAUAAAGCAU
rnacentral:rRNA from 1 species